CGGGGCGGGGCCUCAGCCCGUCUGGGCUCCCAGGUGCGCCGACCGGGUCUCACGCGGAUGCGGGAGCUGCUGAGGCUACUGCGGCGCAAGUCGUGUGAUCGCGCGGGUCCGCGGUGGUAGUGCGCAUCUUGGCAUCCGGGUUCUUACAAAGCCUCCUAGAUGGUCGUACGCGGUGUGAUCAAAUGUUCAGUGGAGACUGAGGCCCAUGGCCUGCCUGACCCGGUUCCCCUCUGCCUGCUCGACAGAUGAGCUCUGCUGGACGUGGAGACGGAGAGCACAGCCUGACCUUGGGGAGUCUUUGCCGCCUCCUGUCCUUACCCAGACCUUGUGGCCCGAGGUGGCUGCGGUUGGUGGAUAGGGAAAAUGGAAAAUGACGUCCACCAAGGCCACAGUGGUGCCCGAAUAUUACCAGGGUGACUUAGAUGCUUUCUUUGACUUUGUGCAAGAAGAAAAAAAAUGAUGUGGUGGUGUAAACUACAUUUCCAUCUCUGGUAAGGAAGACUCAGGCUGCAUUUGAAUGCAGCAAAUAAAACAAAAUAAAAACUUGAGGAAAUCA